CAGGUCCCCGACAUUCUCCACAGGAUGGGCCACAAGGAGUUUACCUCCAGGACAGCAAAGUUUGAAGUAUUUAAAGGCUGAAAAGGUUGGAAGUGGCCCUGGGUUCCAGCAGGAGGGCCUGGGUAGAAGACGAUGGUGCACCCCAACCCUCAUCAGAUGGAACAGUCAUGGAGAAAUCCAUGGGUCCCA
rnacentral:lncRNA from 1 species